UGAGGGAUAUUGCACAAUGGGCGCAAGCCUGAUGCAGCGACGCCGCGUGGAUGAAGAAGGCCUUCGGGUCGUAAAAUCCUUUUGCGCAUGACGAGAAAAGGACGGUAGUGCGCGAAGAAGUCUCGGCUAACUACGUGCCAGCAGCCGCGGUAAAACGUAGGAGACGAACGUUAUCCGGAGUUACUGGGCGUAAAGGGCGUGCAGGCGGCCUAAUAAGUUCGGCGUGAAAUUUCCCGGCUUAACCGGGGGAUGUCGUCGGAUACUGUUGGGCUAGAGGGCGACAGAGGUGUGUGGAAUUCCGGGUGUAGUGGUGAAAUGCGUAGAGAUCCGGAGGAACACCAGUGGCGAAGGCGACACACUGGGUCGCACCUGACGCUAAGACGAGACAGCAUGGGGAGCGAACGGG
rnacentral:rRNA from 1 species